rnacentral:rRNA from 1 species
UUUUGUUGACGCUGGCGGUAGCUUAACACAUGCAAGUCGAGCGGAAACGAUGGUAGCUUGCUACCAGGCGUCGAGCGGCGGACGGGUGAGUAAUACUUAGGAAUCUACCUAGUAGUGGGGGAUAGCUCGGGGAAACUCGAAUUAAUACCGCAUACGACCUACGGGAGAAAGGGGGCAGUUUACUGCUCUCGCUAUUAGAUGAGCCUAAGUCGGAUUAGCUAGAUGGUGGGGUAAAGGCCUACCAUGGCGACGAUCUGUAGCUGGUCUGAGAGGAUGAUCAGCCACACCGGGACUGAGACACGGCCCGGACUCCUACGGGAGGCAAGCAAGUGGGGAAUAUUGGACAAUGGGGGAAACCCCUGAUCCACCCUGCCCGCGUGUGUGAAAAAAGCCUUUUUGGUUUGUAAAGCACUUUAAGCAGUGAAAAAAACUCCAUGGUUAAUACCCAUGGGCCAAUGACAUUAGCUUGAAAAAUAAGCACCCGGUUAACUUUUUGCCCCCAACCCCGGGUAAUACAAAAGGGUGCAAGCCGUUAAUGGGAAUAUUUUGGCCUAAACACAAACC